UACAGAGGGUGCAAGCGUUAAUCGGAUUUACUGGGCGUAAAGGGCGCGUAGGUUGUUGCGUAAGUGAGAUGUGAAAUCCCCGGGCUUAACCUGGGACGUGCAUCUUAGACUGCGUAACUUGAGUGUAGUAGAGGGUAGUGGAAUUUCCGGUGUAGCGGUGAAAUGCGUAGAUAUCGGAAGGAACACCAGUGGCGAAGGCGGCUACCUGGGCUAACACUGACACUGAGGGCGCGAGAGCGUGGGGGAGCAAAACAGG
rnacentral:rRNA from 1 species